rnacentral:rRNA from 1 species
UAGGGAAUCUUCCACAAUGGGCGCAAGCCUGAUGGAGCAACACCGCGUGAGUGAAGAAGGGUUUCGGCUCGUAAAGCUCUGUUGUUGAAGACGAACGUUCGUGAGAGUAACUGUUCACGCAGUGACGGUAUCCAACCAGACAGUCACGGCUAUGUACAGGCCACGUUCCGCGGUAAUACGUAGGUGGCAAGCGUUAUCCGGAUUUAUUGGGCGUAAAGCGAGCGCAGGCGGUUGCUUAGGUCUGAUGUGAAAGCCUUCGGCUUAACCGAAGAAGUGCAUCGGAAACCGGGCGACUUGAGUGCAGAAGAGGACAGUGGAACUCCAUGUGUAGCGGUGGAAUGCGUAGAUAUAUGGAAGAACACCAGUGGCGAAGGCGGCUGUCUGGUCUGCAACUGACGCUGAGGCUCGAAAGCAUGGGUAGCGAACAGG